UGGGGAAUAUUGCACAAUGGGCGCAAGCCUGAUGCAGCCAUGCCGCGUGUGUGAAGAAGGCCUUCGGGUUGUAAAGCACUUUCAGCGAGGAGGAAGGUGGUGAACUUAAUACGUUCAUCAAUUGACGUUACUCGCAGAAGAAGCACCGGCUAACUCCGUGCCAGCAGCCGCGGUAAUACGGAGGGUGCAAGCGUUAAUCGGAAUUACUGGGCGUAAAGCGCACGCAGGCGGUUUGUUAAGUCAGAUGUGAAAUCCCCGGGCUCAACCUGGGAACUGCAUUUGAAACUGCAAGCUAGAGUCUCGUAGAGGGGGGUAGAAUUCCAGGUGUAGCGGUGAAAUGCGUAGAGAUCUGGAGGAAUACCGGUGGCGAAGGCGGCCCCCUGGA
rnacentral:rRNA from 1 species